rnacentral:rRNA from 1 species
UACAGAGGGGGCAAGCGUUAUUCGGAAUUAUUGGGCGUAAAGGGCGCGUAGGCGGCCUGGCAAGUGGAAGGUGAAAUCCCUCGGCUUAACCGAGGAACUGCCCUCCAAACUGCUUGGCUUGAGUCCGGGAGAGGUGAGUGGAAUUCCCAGUGUAGCGGUGAAAUGCGUAGAUAUUGGGAGGAACACCAGUGGCGAAGGCGGCGACCUGGGCCAAUAUUGACGCUGAGGUGCGAAAGCGUGGGGAGCAAACAGG